rnacentral:lncRNA from 1 species
AUGGCUCUACUGAAUAGAAACACUUCAUGGUCUAGAGCCUGCCAGAGAGUGGUUAAAACCCGGAAGAGCCUGGAAGAGCCCGGACUUCAGAACUGGAAAACGCUGAGUUUGAGCUCCUGUUUCACCACCUUAGGGGAGUGAUUCAACUUUGGUAAGUUUCAGUUUUCUCGUUUUUACAUAAAGAGAAUAAUUAGAAAUGCUCAUUAUGAUGUAUUGUCACAUAUAAUAUCUUCAGUUUUUGGCACUUACCAACUCGCAGCAUGGGUCCUGACCAGAGGAAUAAAAAGAGGUCAAUUUCCUUUCAUUUUUUUUAAGCUAGUGGCUUAAGAGAAAACAGCAAGUAAGCGAGGCUCAGGGAAUGUGUUUAAUUUGGCAUGACUCUGCAAAAAUCGUUUUAUGUAUUAGCCGUUUCUGUAAAAUGGACCAAAUAGCUCUUCUCCACUUGCCCCCAAAGUCCCCGGGACCUGUUGGAAAGGUAAGAGGAUAGUCAUGAGUACUUUGAAUAUAACUAAUUAAUGAUAUGACGCUGCUAUAAAAGCUCAUUCCUGACUUGCCUCUCUCAGCAACGGUCCUGAGUUCUUCUCUUGCCUUUGUUUUUUCCCAAACCUGCAUAGCUUACCUUCCAAACAGACACUUUUCUCCUCGCUAUAGCCCAAGUGAAUAUCUCCCUUUUCUGAUGCAUCUCUAUUGCCUAAUUGCUACUUAACUGUAAACACCUUGCUUUGAAACUUACUUGCCUAAGGAGUACUGUCUCCAUGUCUCUUCUUUCUGACUAAACGUUUUUUGAAGAAAUAAACUAUGCUUUCCAUUUCUUUUUAAUUCCCCCUGAGUGCCUGGGAUCAGUCAAUAGCAAAUGUUGAUUAAGUGUAUAUUGCUUAGUUUGCAUAGAAUUUCAAAGCUUUAAACAGGACAAGGGAAAAUAAUUUCCUUUGCCUUCAUAUUUAAGAUAAAGGUCUCUUCAUUUUUCAGGUCAGUGGUGCUUGUGUACUAUGGGUUGGUCAUGGCAGACUCCUAACUGCUCAAGUUGAUCACCUACAGGAGGGUGACUCCCAGGGUGAAUCUAUAUGCUUUGCUUUCCUCUGGUAUUAUAUUAACAAAUACUUUUGGGGAGAUGACAAUCUCAGGAAAAUGAAACAUGUCUGGCUUUUCAUUGUCAUAUUACUUUGUAAUAUGACAUUAUUUUACCAAAAUGAUAAAAGCAUAUGUUGAGCAGGUUACCCAGAUAUCUCAGGUUAAAUGGCCUAAAAUUAAACUCCUAAAAUAAUAAAACCCCUGGAGUAAUGGGAAGUGGAGCAGAAGAGAGGGAGUUGAGAGGGCUUCUAGUCCUAUGUUACUCAUUUCUGUCCUACAAAAGUGUAGCUAUAAAAUACAAUGGGCCAGUUGAGGUACAUGUGGUUUAACUUGUAUUCCCUCUCCUUUCCAAAAACAUGCCUUAUUUUAAUAGGACAGUGAUUCUACCAAAGAUAGGUUUCCCUGGGGAGCAGUUAAGGAGAG